rnacentral:lncRNA from 1 species
ACGCAUGUGGUGCACACACAUGCAAGCAAAACAUUCAUGAAUUUUAAUUUAAAAAAGGAAUGGAUGGAUUUCUAGAGUAAUCCAAACUACCAAAGUUUAAGAAAGUGACAACCUAAACAGACCUAUAACAUUAUACCACCAGUGCCUCCUAAGCAGACCUGUCACAAGGAAGGAGAUUGGAACAGUAAAAAAAAAAAAAAAAAAACCCAGGCCCAGAUAGAUUCACAGGAAAAUUCCACCAGAUUUUCACAGACCUACAGCCAAUACUAAAAAAUAAACAAAAAACCAGAAGGAACAUUUUUAAUGCCAAAAACCAUGUAGGCAACAACAACAAUAUCUCUGAUAUAGGCAAAUAUCUCUGAUGGACAUAGAUGCAAAAAUCUAAUAAAACACUGCAAGCCGAGUAUAGCCAUAUUAGUUCACCCAAGAAAGGACUGGAUGUAGGUGACGAACACUUGAGUCAUGAAAGAAGACAGUUAACUCUUCUUUCUAGUUUUACCUCUUUUGUGUGUGUGGUUAAGUGCAUAAAACAAUAUUUGAUGGUGAAAGUGGAAUCCAGUGUGAAGCUCCACAGCUUUCAUUGAGAUGGAUAAACUUUGGGUCUGGUUAAUUUCACUGUAUGAUGUUUUUUAUAAGUUUUUUUGUAAUAAAACUUUUCCUUUUGUUAUUGCUGCUGUUGUUAUUUUGAGACAGGUUUUCUCUGUGUAGCCCUGGCUGUCCUUGAACUCACUGUAGACCAGGCUGGCCCCAAACUCAGCGAUCUGCUUUCCUGACUCCUAAGUGCUCAGAAUCAAGGCCUGCACCACCACCCAAAUGGCUUUGUAAUGAAAUAUUAAUAAUAAAAAGAUUUAUUAUGAUUAUAAUAAAAGAUAUAUAUGACAAGCCCACAACUAAGAUCAUCCUAGAUGAAAAGUAUGAAGAAAUCCCACAUUUCGAGCUGUAUUACAAAGAUAGAGCAAUGAAAAUAGUCUUGUACUGGCACAAAAGCAGAUGUGCGUCCAUGGAACAAAACAGACUCAAACAUGAGUGCACAUGACUACAGCCAGCUAAUAUCAAACAGAGGUCCCAAAAAUACACACUAGAGAAAGGACAGCAUCUUCAGCAGACAAGGACUGGAAAACUGGACGCCCACAUGAACAAGAAUGAAAUUAGACCCAUGUCCAUCCCCAUGCACAAAAAUGAGCUCCAAAUGGAUCAAGACCUCAGUACGAAACCUGAAACUUUGAGAUGGCUGAAGAAAGCAUAGUCCACAUCCUCCAGGUUAGAGCUGUAGGGAACUCUCUGGAUAGGGCUCCCUUUGCUCAGGAAUUAAGACCAACAAUUUAUGAAUAGGAUCUUAUAAAACCACAAAGCUUCUGUACUGCAAAGGAAACCAAAAAUAAGCUCACAGGGUGAGAUAAGACCUUAUCUGGUAGACAAUUAAUAUCCAGGAUAUACAGAAAAACCAAAAUAACCUACUUUAAAGAGUUAUGUAGAUCUAGACUUUCUCAGAAAAAAAAAUGGUUUUAAAAAGUAUUCAGUAUCUUUAGCAAUGAGGGAAGUUCACACCCAGAGCACUGGACUCAGCUCCCAAGUCGUGAAGGCUAGGGCCGUCGUUUCCUCCUUUUAUCCUAUUUUUGUUUGGUUUCCCAGACAAGGGCUCACUGUGCAGCUGUAGUUCUGACUGAUCUAGAACUUGCUGGGUAGUCUAGGGUGGCCUCGAGCCCAGCAUAGACCCACCUGUCUGUAUCGCUGGCAGUGUAUGAAAUGUGUACGUCACCGUCCUUGGCUCCUUAGGAAAAAGUGUGUAUGGGUGUGGGUUUUUUAAAAAAAGAAUUUCAAAAAAAUUAUGUGUAUGGGUGUUUUGCCUGCACAUAUGUGUCUAAACCAUGUUUCUAUCCUGGUACCUACAGAGGCCAGAAGAGAGGAGUCAAAUGGCCUGGAACUGGAGUUACAGUUGGUAGCUGCUUUGUAUGUGCUGGGAAUUGAACCUGAGACCUCGGGAACUAUCUUUCUAGACUCUCAUCUUGUUACUUUUUUUCUUUCUUUUUUUUUUAAUAUUAACAAUCUUAGUGGAAAGUAUUACUUUAUGGUUUUGAUUUUCAUUUUUCUAGUGACUAAUGGUAGUGUUUGUGUUUAUUAGCCACUUAUAUGUGUUCAAAUAACUUCUCAUUUUCAAUUAGUUGUCUUGUAAGAGGUUUUAUAUAUGUUCUAAACACUGCAUCCUUAAAUGAAUUGGAGAUGUUUUCUCGUCUUUUCACCUUGAUAGUGCCCUUCAAAGUUGUUAAUCUUUUAAAAUUACAGUGUUUGUGUGUGUGUGUGUGUGUGCGCGCGCACGCGCGUGCGCGUGUGCCUGUGCGUGCUCAUUUAAGGAAGUCAGAAGAUGGCCUUCAAGAAUCUAUUUGCUCUUUCCACCGUACAGGUCCUAGGAUUGAACUCAAAUGGGAAGGCUUAACAGCAAGUGCCUUUGCUCACUGAGCCAUCUCACUGGCCCCAAAGGUUUUCAUUUUAGUAAAGUUCAUUUAUAUUUUUAUUUUGUUUCUUGUGCUAUUGAUAUAAUUUCUAAUGUAUACACUAAUUAUAUACAUAUAAACACACAUAUUGCUUAACUUCAAGGCACACUGAUUUACUCAUAGGUUUUUUUUUUUGAAAUUUUUGUUUUUGUUGUAUUUUUUUGAAAUAGAGUCUCUAUGCAGUCCUAACUGCCUUGGAACUCACUCUGUAGACCAGGCUAGCCUCCAGCUAACAGAGAUCCACCUGCCUCUGCUUUCCAAGUGCUAUGAGUGUGCCACUACAGUCAGCUUUCUUCUGAGAAUUGUAUACUUUUAGCUCUGACAUGUACAGCUUUGAUCCAUUUUUAAUUAAUUGUGCUGUGAGGUAACGUCGGCUUCGUUGUUUGCAUUUGGGACUUUCAUUGUCCUUGACUCUUUUAAUUGUUAGCCACUGGGAGCCUUGACCACUGUCAUACUAGGGUUUGCCAUAACUGUGGCGAAGCUUGGGGAGGGAAGGGUUUAUUUGGCUUACCCUUCCAGAUCACAGUUCAUCAUCAAAGGAAGUCAGGACAAGGACUCAAUUCAAGCAGGACAGGAGGAACCUGAAGGCAGGUUAGGAUUCAUGAACUUCUGAUAGCAUUCUAGUUAAUUGAGCUGUCGUUUAUUUUUAGUAUUUUACAGUUUUUUAUAGGUCGCUUAUAUUAAAAAAUGUAUUCCUACAUGCUUUAAUGCUUUUAUAAAUGUGACGGUUCUCAGAAUUCUGUAUUUAGAUUAUUUAUUGCUAACUUACAGAAAUACAGUUAAUUUUUAUUUUGUUCUUGUAUCCUGCAGCUCUGUGAAUGAAACUUAUCUGUUAGUUAAUAGCUUAUGUGUUUGUGUAUGUUAGAAUUUUUUCUGUGCACAAUCCUGGUAUCCUUAAACAAACAUGUUUCCUUUUUCCUUUC